UGCCUGGCCAUAGUAGUAUAGUGCCAUAGUAGUAUAGUACUGAGUAACCCUUCUCUUCUGUUUUUGUGCUCUCAAAUAAGUAGUUAUCGUCUCCAAAACAGCCUCACCACUCCCCCUGCUCGCAUUAAUAUCCCUUCCAAACCCCAACCCUGCUGCUCCACAUCUCCUUCAUCCCUCUCAAACAACUCCAGGGUUUUCUGUUGCGGUUAUAGUUUCAGGAAUCAAGUGAAGAAAAUGGAGGAGGGUCAUCAUGAUCUUUCAAAGGUUACAGUGGCUGGUGAUCCUCAGUUACUCCAAAACAAAGUUAAUGCAGUUUUUUUGGCUGGUCCUGCUAAACUUCAGGAUGAUGCACCCAUGUGGGGGGUAGUCAAGCUUGUUUCCCAGAUGUGCUCAACAGUCAACUGAAGGGGCUUGCUUUCUAUAUCAACAAAUUCUUUAGCUCAUCCCUGGCUUUGACCAAGUGGAGAUGUGAACUAGACUUAACCCUAACUCAUGAUAUUCUUUCUUCUCAAUGUGCCAUUCAAAGUAAGUCAUGGAUUAUCAUUUCCCAGAGCAAGGAUGCUGGCAAAAGAUGCUCAUUAUUUUGCUAGAAUGGUCAGGAUUCAAGAUAAAAUAUUUGUAGUUUCAUUGGAUCCGAAAGCAAUUAGAUCUUGUAUGAUGCUAAGAAUCUACGUAUUCAAGACCGAUGGUUAUUCAUGCCAUCCUUUAUUCAA